GCCGCCCUAGCUCAAUUGGUAGAGCAACGGUAUCGUAAACCGUAGGUUGUCGGUUCAAGUCCGAUGGGCGGCU
rnacentral:tRNA from 1 species